UGGUGGAGUGAUUUGUCUGCUUAAUUGCGAUAACGAACGAGACCUUAACCUGCUAAAUAGCCCGGUCCGCUUUGGCGGGCCGCUGGCUUCUUAGAGGGACUAUCGGCUCAAGCCGAUGGAAGUUUGAGGCAAUAACA
rnacentral:rRNA from 1 species